rnacentral:lncRNA from 1 species
CUGUCCCACAGACUGGGAGCAGCGGCGGAGGGCAGGAGGCUGCCCUGGGAGGCCAACUCCUUAAAUGCACACCUGACCGACGGGUACGCCCCUGCUGUGGGGCCAGGCAGGAGAGCAGCACCGGGGCACCCAGGACCACACACCGAGAAGUGUGAACCCAGCGUGGCCUGGCGUCCCAUCAGCAGAAAGGACACCUGGACAUGCCUGCUGCACAGGUGUCUGCCUUUCCC